UUCCAGAUAUGAUUUGAGGCAGCUAGUGUAAAGUGUAAGAAAGCUGUUUUCUGGUUGGAAGGCCUAAGGAGAGAACAUCGUCGGGCACGGCCAACUAAGGAAUGUUACAGUCAGCUUGGCCAGUGUCUUGCCCUGGUCCUUAAACCAGUUGAGAUGAGUAACUGAUGAAGCUGUAUUUUGUCUUCCCUUUGGCAGAUUAGGAUACUUGAAGAGAACACCUUGAGGAUUGUAACCCUGUGACCAUCUAUACCUGCCAUCCAUUCCUGCUAGCAUCUUUGAAAUAUGUAGCAACAAAUUGACCAGGAAGUUUGAGAAGUGAAUCCUUAGUAAAGGAAUAGUGAUGGAGAACAGAGCAGCUAAUCUCACUGCCAAGAGAAGGGAAGCCAAAGGGAGCCUCAGGUCAUCAGGUACCAGGACAUUCAGGGCUUUAAAGUCACUGCCUUCACUUUGUGGGCCAUUUGAAGAAAUCCGCACAGAACUUGAAAACGAGUUGUAAUAGAAUCUUGCCCAGCAGAAGCAAGGGUCUGUCAGGAGCCAAGAAAGAACAUUUAUAUACUUUAAAACCAGUCCUCAAGAGAGAACUAUCUGCACUCCUCUCACCCCCCCAAAAAGGUUAUACAUCUUAAUACUAAAUUCUGGAUAUUGUAUUGUUUCCUCAGAUCCAGCACCAGCUAAAGGAAGGGAGCUUGUAUACAUUUUUUU
rnacentral:lncRNA from 1 species